rnacentral:ncRNA from 1 species
AAAGUUUAAUUUUAGUUUAAAAAUUUAUUAUUUUUUUUAUAUAUAUGUAAAUUUUUGUGUGAAUAUAAAUAUAAUUUUAAUAAUUAUAUUUAAAUUAAUUUAAUUGCAGUAUUUAGUAUUAAUAAUUUAGUAAUUUAAGAAUUAGAAAUAAAUUUAAGUUUAAACAAAUUUUGUGCCAGCAGUUGCGGUUAUACAAAAUAAGCAAAUAUAUUUAUUUAGUUUAUAAUUAUAUGUUUAAUUUAAUUAAAAAUUUAUUUUAUUAGGUGAAAUUAUUAAAAUAAAUUUUAAUUUUUAAAAGAUAAUUUAAUAUUAUGAAAUUUAUUAAUAAACUAGGAUUAGAUACCCUAUUAUUUUAAAUGUUAAUAUAAAGUGCUAAAGUAGUAUUAGUUAUGUUCUUGAAAUUUAAAAAAUUUGGCGGUACAUUAGUCUAUUUAGAGGAACCUGUUUAAUAAUUGAUAAUCCACGAAUGACUUUACUUAGGUUAAAAGUUUGUAUAUCGUUGUUAUAUAAAAUUUUAUAAGGAUAAUAAUUUUAAAAAUUUUUAAUAAAAAAAUAUAUCAAAUCAAGGUGCAGUUUAUAUUUAAGUAUAAAUGGGUUACAAUAAAUUUAUUUAUAUGGAUAAGUUAAUAAAAUUUAACUUUGAAGGUGGAUUUAAUAGUAAUAUAAUUAUAAUUAAUUAUAUGAUUAUAGCUCUAAUGUAUGUACAUAUCGCCCGUCACUCUUGUUAUAAAAUAAGAUAAGUCGUAACAAAGUAGAUGUACUGGAAAGUGUAUCUAGAAUGA